rnacentral:ncRNA from 1 species
UUCCCCUAGUAAUGGCGAAUGAAGCGGGAAAAGCUCAAAUUUAAAAUCUCCGUUGCUUGCAACGGCGAAUUGUAGUUUCGAGAAGCACUUUCUCGGCGGAUCCGAGGUCGUCCAAGUUGCUUGGAACAGCACGUCGUAGAGGGUGACAACCCCGUCUGCGGCGACCUCGGCCGUUCACGAUGUGCUUUCGACGAGUCGGGUUGUUUGGGAAUGCAGCCCAAAAUGGGUGGUAAACUCCAUCUAAAGCUAAAUAUUGGCACGAGACCGAUAGCGAACAAGUACCGUGAGGGAAAGAUGAAAAGCACUUUGAAAAGAGAGUUAAAAAGUACGUGAAACCGUUAAAAGGGAAACGAAUGGGGUUAGCAAUGCGUCGUGCGAGAUUCAGCCGGUGGGUGGGCCAGGCGGGCGGUUGGCGGAUCUGAAUGGACCGCUGCCGUUCGGGUUGGUUUCCCGACCGUCGCACUUCUCGCAGGCGCGCGCCAACGUCGGUUAGGGCUGGGUCUCAAAGGCGGUGGAAAGGUAGGUUUGGACUCUCGGGCCCGAACUGUUACAGUCCUCCGUUCGUCAUGGCCCGGACCUGACCGAGGAGCUUGCGGUGCAUGCCCUUUCGGCUAGGGUCCCGUCUUCCCGGUCGGUCGUCGAAUGCGGUGGUCUGCGUGCAGUGCGCCGCGUCUGCUGCCGGUCGCGAGGGCGGUGAUUUCGUNC